CCCAUACAGACGAACAAAAUUUGUACUACAAGUGCACUUGUCGUAGAAAAAUUGUCAAAGUUGCACAUACAGACGAGCAAAUAAAACUUGUUACUUAAAAACUUGUCAUAGGAAACUUGCUCGUCUUUAACCGGCUUAAGAAAUAUAUAUAACUAGUCUGAUACAAAUGCCAAUGUAUAUUUCAUAUAAAACUAAACUGGAAUCUGUCAUAUGCAUAAACUUGCUGCAUACUCAAAGCCGGCAACAAUAUUCAGAUUGAGUCAUGGGUGGCCAUGUGAUCUUCAAGAUCUCUGGGAACAUCAAACACGACAUUGCACACACAACAAACAUAUCCAACACCAGUUGGUUCUUUUGAUUUAAGUUCUUGACAUAAACCCCAUUCAUUUGAUAGUUUCCAUCAUUGCCAUGAUGUCUCACUAUAUGUCGAACCAAUGUCAUAAAAUUUGAGAAUCGUUUGUCACAUUUGUUACAAGCAUAUUUUCCAAUACUUUUAUCCUGAACAAAGUGUCCUUGAAAAUCUUGUGGUUCAAUAAUCUCUUUGUGGCAACUAUUGCAAAACAAAUGCUCCUUUUUGUGCCUUCUUAAUUGCAUAAAUCUCUUCUUGCAAACAUCACAUUCAUAACGAUUGUCUCAAGUAUUAAUAUGUCUUCUCUUAUGUACAGCUAAAUUACUUGAUUGUGAAAAUUUCUUCUUACAAACAUCACAUUCAUAAGGCUUGUCUCCAGUAUGUGUUCUCUUGUGUAUUACCAAAUGAUUUGUUACUUUAAAUCUCUUCUUACAAACAUCACAUUCAUAAGGCUUGUCUCCAGUAUGUGUUCUCUUAAUGUGUUUUACCAAAUAAUUUGAUACUUUAAAUCUCUUCUUACAAACGUCACAUUCAUAAGGAUUGUCUCCAGUGUGCGUUCGUGUAUGCAUAGUUAAACUACUUGAAUGUCUAAAUCUCUUCUUACAAACUUCACAUUCAUAAGGGUUGUCUCCAGUGUGUAUUCGUUGAUGUGAUGCUAAAGUACUUGAUUGGCUAAAUUUCCCCUUACAAACAUCACAUUCAUAUGGUCUUUCUCCAGUGUGUGUUCUUUUAUGUGAUACCAAAUGAUCUGAUCUUUUAAAUCUCUUCUUACAAACAUCACAUUCAUAAGGUUUGUCUCCAGUGUGUGUGCGUUGAUGCGUUGCUAAAUUACCUGAUUGUGCAAAUUUCUUCUUACAAACAUCGCAUUCAUAAGGUUUAUCCCCAGAGUGUGUCCUCUUAUGUACAGCUAAGUGAUCUGAUUUGUUAUAUCUCUUCUCACAAAGAUCACAUUCAAAAGGUUUCUUUCUAUUUUUUGUUCCUCUUUGCUCACAACGAUCGGACAUUUUUAUUAAUAAAAUUAUUAUCAAAACUAUAUAUAGAAAUC